AUUUAGAUAGUUUAAAAAAAAUGUUAAAUUGUGGAUUUAAAGAUAUACAAUGAUUUAUUCUAAAUA